rnacentral:rRNA from 1 species
GAUAAACGCUGGCGGCGUGCAUGAGACAUGCAAGUCGAACGGACGAUCGAGGCUUGCUUCGAUCGUUAGUGGCGGACGGCUGAGUAACGCGUAGGUGACCUGCCCCGAAGUGGGGAAUAACUGCCCGAAAGGGUGGCUAAUACCGCAUGUGGUGGUGUGUUCAAUCACACCAGUAAAGCCGCAAGGCGCUUCGGGAGGGGCCUGCGUCCGAUUAGCUCGUUGGUGGGGUAACGGCUCACCAAGGCGACGAUCGGUAGGUGGUCUGAGAGGACGAUCACCCAGACUGGGACUGAGACACGGCCCAGACUCCUACGGGAGGCAGCAGUCGGGAAUUUUGCGCAAUGGACGAAAGUCUGACGCAGCAACGCCGCGUGAGGGAUGACGGCCU